rnacentral:rRNA from 1 species
CACGUAGGGCGCAAGCGUUGUUCGGAUUCAUUGGGCGUAAAGGGUGCGUAGGUGGCGGGGUAAGUCAGGUGUGAAAUCUCGGGGCUCAACCCCGAAACUGCACUUGAUACUGCCUUGCUCGAGUACUGGAGAGGAGAUUGGAAUUUACGGUGUAGCAGUGAAAUGCGUAGAUAUCGUAAGGAAGACCAGUGGCGAAGGCGAAUCUCUGGACAGUUACUGACACUGAGGCACGAAGGCCAGGGGAGCAAACGGG